ensembl:snRNA U1 U1 spliceosomal RNA
AUAUUUACCUGGCAGGGGAGAUACCAAAUGCAGGGAACUCAACUGCAUAAUUUGUGGUAGUGGGGAAUUGUGUUCGUGCCUUCCCCUC